CCCCAAGCCACUGAUAGGUCCUCCUGUCCCUCCCAGGAAUUCCCCUGCAGUGGCCGACCCUCCUGGGCUUGGCUUCUGCCCGGCUGAGGGCACCAGAGGAGAUGGGGCAGGGGGAGAGACAGCCCCUCCCCACUGAGACGUGGACCAAGACUCAAGAAGAGGAGCUGGGGCUUCUUUGAAUUUGAGUGGGACCCCUGGCGGGUUUCCGCAGGAUGGAGUCGAAAUCAACUCUUCAGAGAGACCCUGUGACUGCUUUUCUGCAAAACCCUAAAAAGGUGGCUAUUAUUAGGAGCCCAGAAAGGAGACGUAGAACACCACGAGGGA
rnacentral:lncRNA from 1 species